rnacentral:lncRNA from 1 species
GCCUGGUUGACUAGAGUUGCCAUCCAGCCAAGAAUCCUGGAUCCCCAAAGAAGAGUGAAAAGAGCCAGACAUCAUGUUUUAUCACAAUAGAGAGGGUUCUGAGGAUGGAACCAGGGUCUGUGUGAAGAAUGUAUCAUACACAUAACUCCAUGCCUGAAGGGCACCUCUUCCAGCACCCACUCACAGGUUUUCGCCUGUGCCUUCAGCUACACAUGGUUUCCCAGCUGCAGUGCAUAUACCUUUUUGGAGAGAUGCCACACUCCCACCUGGGAGGGGAAUACGAGUGGAUGAGGACAAGGAGGCUGAGGACAUGGUUCCCUGGCAACAGGGCCAGCCCAGCAGGAGGGGCAGGCUCCAGGGACGGGUCAGCUUUGGGCCUGACCAAGUCCUGCCGGCCACCUCAUGGUAUUCACUGCCCCAUCAGAGUCUACAUCUGGAAAUUUGAAGACAAAUUAAUCCCCUGACAUCUCAAAUAAGCAGUGUCUCUGCUUGUGUACUAAAUAACAAAGCGGUUGGCUCUUUCUUUAAAGCUUUUUUUUUUCACUUUUACAUCACUUAUUUCCAUGGUUAAUUGCACUGACCAACCUCAGUGAGGCAGCUCUGUCAGUCAUUGUCACUGAUUCUCGAGUUGGAUUACCAAGCCUCACACAUGUUAUGACACCUUUUCAACACCCUUCCCAUGGGGCUGGACAGCCCUUUCCUAAGGAAUCACCUCCUGUUUACCCCAGUUUUAUCCGAUUUUAUCCCCAUUCUUACAGCAAACACAAAGAUACGUCACUGGAGAUUAUUAAGGAUACAUGUUCCUAGGAGUCAUAAGAGAUUUUCCAGCACAUUGUCAGGUAUACAUGUCUUUGGCCCCAUGGUCUGCUCUGUGACAUAAUGGAAGAAUUGACCACUCUUGCAAUUGAUAUCAAAUGUAUGCAGGGCCAAGUUUCUCACAUUAAAACAUAGGACAUGUUCAAGAAGUUCAUUUUUAGGUCAGUCACUGAAAUGUGAAACUCGUUUUCUUCUAAAAACAGUUUUUGUAGUGUUGGAGCUGACCACAUAUUUGGCUGCAAUACCCUCUCUAACCCACAAAGUAUCAGAAAUAGCACACUAUUGUAAUGAAAAUAAGUAGAACGCAAGAUUGUUUCAAAACCGAUAACAAAACAUAUAACAGUCACAAACAAAUCAUGUUUACUUACUUAAUUCUGGUGCUUGAGGAAAGGUCAGUUCAUCUAGGAGAGAUAAAGAGGUAGAUGAAAACGUCUGUGAAUAUUCUGGAAGGGAAUUCAGACAACUUUCCAGGAUUUGGAGACACUGAAGAUGCUGGUUUUGUGGUGGUAGGAGGAGAAUCGCCCCUCAGGCUCUUCACUUCAACAUUGUUGUCUUGUCCUUGAUACAAACCCAUUACUUGUAGAACUCAAGUUAUUUUUGUUGGUUCACAAGGAAAUAAUAGAGGGGGGAAAGGCUGAAGUUGGGAAA